rnacentral:rRNA from 1 species
UACGGGGGGUGCGAGCGUUGUCCGGAAUCACUGGGCGUAAAGGGCGCGUAGGUGGCGUGAUAAGGGUGUGGUGAAAGCCCGGGGCUCAACCCCGGGUCUGCCAUGCCGACUGUCAGGCUAGAGUACUGUAGGGGCAGGCGGAAUUCCGGGUGUAGCGGUGGAAUGCGUAGAUAUUGGGAAGAACACCGGUGGCGAAGGCGGCCAUCUGGACCGGCACUGACGCUGAGGCGCGAAAGCGUGGGGAGCAAACAGG